rnacentral:rRNA from 1 species
AUCUCUUGGUUCCAGCAUCGAUGAAGAACGCAGCGAAAUGCGAUAAGUAAUGUGAAUUGCAGAAUUCAGUGAAUCAUCGAAUCUUUGAACGCACAUUGCGCCCUCGGUAUUCCGGGGGGCAUGCCUGUUCGAGCGUCAUUG